rnacentral:lncRNA from 1 species
GUUGAAUUUUUGUUAUGGCUCAUGAAAAUUUGAGGGAAUAGAUAAUGGAAAUUUUCUCACACUAGGGACUUAAUUUAGAAUAAAUAUAUAUUAAAAUUUUUUAUUUUUUUUUGUUUAUAAGAAAAGGGAAUAACAAUGAAAAGGGAAAGAUAACAUACUUGAAAAGGGAGAUUUAAAGAACAAGGUUUUCCCCCCCACACUUAAAUGAAACAUUGUCCCCAAUGUUUCAGAGAAAACAAAAG